UGUGUAUUAUCAUAUAUUAAUGAGUUUUACUGUUAAUAAAAAAAAAUUAUAAAUUAUAAUAUACACAU
rnacentral:tRNA from 1 species